UACGGAGGGUCCAAGCGUUAUCCGGAAUCAUUGGGUUUAAAGGGUGCGUAGGCGGUUUUGUAAGUCAGUGGUGAAAGCCCAUCGCUCAACGGUGGAACGGCCAUUGAUACUGCAAGACUUGAAUUAUUAGGAAGUAACUAGAAUAUGUAGUGUAGCGGUGAAAUGCUUAGAGAUUACAUGGAAUACCAAUUGCGAAGGCAGGUUACUACUAAUGGAUUGACGCUGAUGGACGAAAGCGUGGGUAGCGAACAGG
rnacentral:rRNA from 1 species